CCAGACCGCGAGUGCUCUGAGGCAAGGCGGCGGCGGCGGCGGCGGCGGCGAGCGGUGGCGAGCGGCGGCGACGUUACCUCUGAAGGGAGCCCAAGAUGACCGGUUCUAACGAGUUCAAGCUGAACCAGCCACCCGAGGAUGGCAUCUCCUCGGUGAAGUUCAGCCCCAACACCUCCCAGUUCCUGCUGGUCUCCUCCUGGGACACGUCUGUGCGCCUCUACGAUGUGCCGGCCAACUCCAUGCGGCUCAAGUACCAGCACACCGGCGCCGUCCUGGACUGUGCGUUCUACGAUCCAACACAUGCCUGGAGUGGAGGAUUAGAUCAUCAAUUGAAAAUGCAUGAUUUGAACACUGAUCAAGAAAAUCUUGUUGGAACCCAUGAUGCCCCUAUCAGAUGUGUUGAAUACUGUCCGGAAGUGAAUGUGAUGGUUACUGGAAGUUGGGAUCAGACAGUUAAAUUGUGGGAUCCCAGAACUCCUUGUAAUGCUGGGACCUUCUCUCAGCCUGAAAAGGUGUAUACCCUCUCAGUGUCUGGUGACCGGCUGAUUGUGGGAACAGCGGGCCGCAGAGUGUUGGUGUGGGAUUUACGGAACAUGGGCUACGUGCAGCAGCGCAGGGAGUCCAGCCUGAAAUACCAGACUCGCUGCAUACGAGCGUUUCCAAACAAGCAGGGUUAUGUAUUAAGCUCUAUUGAAGGCCGAGUGGCAGUUGAGUACUUGGACCCAAGCCCUGAGGUACAGAAGAAGAAGUAUGCCUUCAAAUGUCACAGACUGAAAGAAAAUAAUAUUGAGCAGAUUUACCCGGUGAAUGCCAUUUCCUUUCACAAUAUCCACAAUACAUUUGCCACAGGUGGUUCUGAUGGAUUUGUAAAUAUUUGGGAUCCGUUUAACAAAAAGCGACUGUGCCAGUUCCAUCGGUACCCCACCAGCAUUGCAUCACUUGCCUUCAGUAAUGAUGGGACUACCCUUGCAAUAGCAUCAUCAUAUAUGUAUGAAAUGGAUGACACAGAACAUCCUGAAGAUGGUAUCUUUAUUCGCCAAGUGACAGAUGCAGAAACAAAACCCAAGUCACCAUGUACUUGACAAGAUUUCAUUUACUUAAGUGCCAUGUUGAUGAUAAUAAAACAAUUCGUACUCCCCAAUGGUGGAUUUAUUACUUUUAACAAAGAAACCAGGGAAAAAUAUUAAUUUUAAUAUUAUAAGAACCUGAAAAUAAUGGAAAAGAGGUCCACGUAAUCAUCUCCUGAAAGUGGUUUCUCUAUGGAAAGCUUUGUUUGCUUCCUACAAAUACAUGCUUACCCCCUAAGGGAUGUGUUAUAAUCAUUGUGUAUAUGUUAUUUAGUAUGUGGAUUUCUCUGUUUUCUGUUUUAUGAGAAACGUGUCUGUGUACCCUUUAAUAUUUUGUUUAGGAUGAGGAGUCCUUGUGUCCUGUGCAGUAGUCUGAAGAAUUUUCCCUCCCUCCCCCAAGCAAGCCUAGUUGCUGUUUAUGAGCAGUUUGAGCUCUUUUUGUAACAUCUAAAUCUGUUAUUUCUGUGCUGUCUAAUAAAUCAGAUUCAGAACCUUA